UGCAGUCGAGCGCACCUUCGGGUGAGCGGCGGACGGGUGAGUAACGCGUGGGAACGUGCCCUUCUCUGCGGAAUAGCCACUGGAAACGGUGAGUAAUACCGCAUACGCCCUUCGGGGGAAAGAUUUAUCGGAGAAGGAUCGGCCCGCGUUAGAUUAGGUAGUUGGUGGGGUAAUGGCCUACCAAGCCUACGAUCUAUAGCUGGUUUGAGAGGAUGAUCAGCCACACUGGGACUGAGACACGGCCCAGACUCCUACGGGAGGCAGCAGUGGGGAAUCUUAGACAAUGGGCGCAAGCCUGAUCUAGCCAUGCCGCGUGAGUGAUGAAGGCCUUAGGGUCGUAAAGCUCUUUCGCUGGGGAAGAUAAUGACUGUACCCAGUAAAGAAACCCCGGCUAACUCCGUGCCAGCAGCCGCGGUAAUACGGAGGGGGUUAGCGUUGUUCGGAAUUACUGGGCGUAAAGCGCGCGUAGGCGGAUCACAGAGUUGGGGGUGAAAUCCCGGGGCUCAACCUCGGAACUGCCUCCAAAACUCCUGGUCUUGAGUUCGAGAGAGGUGAGUGGAAUUCCGAGUGUAGAGGUGAAAUUCGUAGAUAUUCGGAGGAACACCAGUGGCGAAGGCGGCUCACUGGCUCGAUACUGACGCUGAGGUGCGAAA
rnacentral:rRNA from 1 species